rnacentral:rRNA from 1 species
UACGGGGGGAGCAAGCGUUGUUCGGAUUUACUGGGCGUAAAGGGCGCGUAGGCGGUCAGCACAAGUCAGUUGUGAAAUCUCCGGGCUUAACUCGGAAAGGUCAACUGAUACUGUGCGACUAGAGUGCGGGAAGGGGCAACUGGAAUUCUCGGUGUAGCGGUGAAAUGCGUAGAUAUCAGGAGGAACACCAAUGGCGAAGGCAGCUCGCUGGGACGUGAACUGACGCUGAGACGCGAAAGCGUGGG